AGAGACAUAGACUGUAUAUAGGGUUUUGCAGAAGCAGGAUGGAGACGAGAGAACAAGACUGAGAAUUUGCUCUAUACCCAUUGAGAGAAGGAGGGCUGAAAACUGUAAAUUUUAAAUAUGCAUCCAAAGAUGUCUAUUGCUAAUUUUAUCAUCCGUAGGAUGGACUGAGAAAAUCAACAAGCGUUUGGGCUGUGCAGUCUCUCAUUAAUAUGUUUUGGCUUCUGGGAUGUCUACUCAGAGGACAUUUCGAGAUAAGUGUUGCAAUAUAUUUACACAGACAAGAAAAAGCUGUCAAGAAAAUUAUUAAUAUGUGUGCUGAAAAAUGCACAUGAAUGUAUAUUCUAGUUUGAGUUAGUGGCAUAUUUAAAGAUUAUACAUGUAUGUGUAUAUGGGAUGUGUGUAUGUAGAUGAGUAUUCUCAAAAUUGAGAACUGAUUGAUUGAGAUUGGAGUUGCUAAUUCUUACGGCAAUGAGAGUCUAAAAAGACAAAAGAAUAUAUAAACAAUUUAUUGAAAUUUACGUCUGUAAAUAAUGAUUUCUAACCUAACCUAGUCCCAGCUCUGUUA